GGAGAGGUGGCCGAGUGGCUGAAGGCGCUCCCCUGCUAAGGGAGUAUGGGGUUUAUAGCUUCAUCGAGGGUUCGAAUCCCUCCUUCUCCGCCA
rnacentral:tRNA from 1 species